rnacentral:rRNA from 1 species
CUACGGGGCGCUCCAGUUAGGAAUAAUUUACAAUGCACGCAAGUGUGAUAAUUUGAGCCAGAGUGCGUUUCAAUGAAACGCUUUUGCCAAGUCUAAAAAGCUUGGCGAAUAAGGACUGGGUAAGACUGGUGCCAGCCGCCGCGGUAAUACCAGCGGUCCAAGUCGCAGCCAUCUUUAUUGGGUCUAAAACAUCCGUAGCUUGCUUAGUAAGUUUCCUGUGAAAUCCGGCAUCUUAAGUGUUGGGCGUGCGGGAAGUACUGCUGAGCUAGAGACUGGUAGACGUAAGGAGUAUGUCCGAAGUAACGGUAAAAUGUGUUAAUCUCAGACAGACUCACAACAGCGAAGGCACCUUACGAGAACAGUUCUGACAGUGAGGGAUGAAGGCUAGGGGCGCAAAAGGGAUUAGAUACCCCGGUAGUC